UACUGAAAUCUUCCUUGAUGGAUGCUUGUC
rnacentral:piRNA from 1 species